AUAGAACCCAUUACAACGACUGAUGGUUCCUGGUGGUGUCCAGUGGUCGCCAGUGGUGCUCCGCGGGUUUUCAUGAUGGGUCGGUGCCACAGCGUACAGGAUUCUGAUCGUUUACUCAGGCAGGGGGUUCUGGGACCGGUCCCACACACAGUUUGGUCAUUGCCUAACGGGCUCUAACGGCGACCAUCAGGCCAGUUCCUGCUGGGAAGCAAAACCAUCAGGUUUUUACUCCUAACGGCCCUGAGAGCAGCUCCUCUCCAUCUUUACCCAGAAGGAUAAGCGUCUGAGUUUUUCCAGUCCGCCUGAUCGACACCACAAGCUGAAAAACACUGUGAACAAUCACAGGUGAGUGACGGCAUCACUGUGGGAGUUCAAACAGAGUCAGCACUUCUCACCUUUACCACCCACCUACACCCCCUUCCCCCCCCACGCCGUAAUCCCAGCAAACAAAACAUCAGCACUGCUCUCUAUCUCUCUGUCUGUCUGUCUGUCUGUCUAUCUAUUUUUAUUUACAGUGCACAUUAAAUCAACCCGAAAGCAAACGUGUCACCUGCAUUAGAAAAUGGCUCAUUUUCAGCUGUAACGCCUGAGGCUUGACGUCAUUAGCCAAAGAUGAGACACUUCACACCAAACUAACCUUUGGUCCGCAUCAAUACUUAAAUACGUGGACAGAUGAUUGUACUGUGAGGCCACAGAGUGUUUGGAGGCCUCCACACUCUCCAUAAUAAGACGUCACAAAAGCAAAGCAAACAAAUAAAGAAUAAAAAUAAGACCUAACCAGUGAGACAAAACAAUAUUCCACAUCUGUGUUCAUGUCAAUUCUGAGCAACACUGGAAAUUCGGCUGUUUUUGCUUUAGCUAUACUAAUAGUGGAGCCUUUGGUGAUUAGUCUCCCUGUCAGAUCUGGACCUGCUGGAGUCUCUGCUGCUCUGUUUUACUGUAAUCUGUGGUCAGCCACUCUUUACAGAACUGACCCUGUGUUUUCUUUCUUUGCCGAGUUGAUCAGCUGCCCAUCCUGUGCGUCUGAUGGUGCUGCCUCUUCUGCCUUGAUCAGGUUCCACUGCUCGCCAGCCUUCUGGACCGGCUUGACCACCACUGAGCUUCUGAGAUGCAGCUGCCGCUGUUAUUCAUAGACUGAUCUAAUUAACCGCUGCUUUUCCCCCCACUUUGUACUAUAACACCUCAUACUAACACUGUUUGCUGUCUGGUGUUGACCAGAGGAGGGCGGGAGUUUUUUUCCUUGCCACUGUCGCCACUGGCGACGCUCAUGGGGGCUCGGACCCGGAUUUUUCUUUUCUUUCUCUCUCUGUAACGCUGACUAAUGUGCAACAACCUAACGUGCACACUGUAAACAACAUCUCACUUAAAUGGCAUCAGAGUCAAUAAUAUAUAUAUAUACUAAUAAUAAUAAUACAUCUUCUAAGGCCCAUGUGUCAGGCUCCAGUCCUCGCAGGCCGAAACACUGCAGCCUUCAGCACACGCCAAUUAGCAAGGCCUUCGUGAACCGAAUCUCCACAGCACAUCAGCCUGGAAGGUCCCCAGUUUGACACGCCUGUUCUAAGGUAUCUGAGACACUUCAAGCCUUGUGGUCUGAGGGCCUCCAAGGCUCCUGGCAGUCAGAGGCCCCUAAUCCAGUCAGGGGCUUCCUGCUGUGAUAUAAGAUUCAGCCAACCUUCUGCAUCCACAUGCAGGUUUAAGCAUGUUGUUGCUGUAUGAACCAAAUCUUUUUUUUCAUGAUUAUUUUUCCAGAAUUUGAAAAUGACAGCAUGGAAAUGCCCCCAAAAUUACUCAAGACUAUUUCUUUUCCUGUAAGAAUAUUACCAUUUUUAAGAUAUGAGAUUAACGAUGUGUAACUUUAACACACAUUACACAAACGAGAAGUGACGCAGUCACACACUGAUAAACUUAAAGGCUUGUUUUUAAUCU